AUUUCAAUUGAAUAUAUUGUCUUAUUAUGAGCAGCAAAUGCUCUACCAGCAGUAAAAGAAAAUCAAAGACUGAAAACUUUCAGCCAAGCAUUGUUUGAACUAUGAAAGAUAUGAUUAAAAGUGGCCAGCAAAGCGCCAAAUCUUAGACAGUGUAUCAAUUCCA